UUCUGCUUUCCUUCUUUGAGGAUGGUGGGUAGGUUGGACUUGUCGGGCAGCUCCACAGCGACAACAGGCUUGACCUGCAAGACAUCAAUAAGGAUUACUUUAAUCCUCUGUCCAGCAGGAUGGCUCUGAACUCCUCGUCCUCACACAGAUCUUAAAGCAACAUGGGUGCACCGGACAAGUGAGUGCUACAGUAUACUGUAAACAUACCAAUUGGAGUCUCCUCCAGGAAGGUCUUGGCAUUGAGACUGGCUCCGUGAGACACCAGCAGCUCUGCCACAUGCAUCUAAAGCAGCAGCAACAACAACAACAGUGGAAGCAAUUUGUAUUAAUGGUUCCAGAAACCUUUGUGUGCGCCUGAGGCUCUUAUCUCUUUCCUGUUGUGUUUUCCUUACCUGAC